CAGCCGCCGCGGUAAAACCAGCACCUCAAGUGGUCAGGAUGAUUAUUGGGCCUAAAGCAUCCGUAGCUCGUUUUGUAAGUUUUCGGUUAAAUCCAUGCGCUUAACGUAUGGGCUGCCGGGAAUACUGCAUAACUAGGAAGUGGGAGAGGUAGACGGUGCUCGGUAGGAAGGGGUAAAAUCCUUUGAUCUAUUGAUGACCACCUGUGGCGAAGGCGGUCUACCAGAACACGUUCGACGGUGAGGGAUGAAAGCUGGGGGAGCAAACCGGAUUAGAUACCCGGGUAGUCCCAGCUGUAAACUAUGCAAACUCAGUGAUGCAUUGGCUUAUGGCCAAUGCAGUGCUGCAGGGAAGCCGUUAAGUUUGCCGCCUGGGAAGUACGUACGCAAGUAUGAAACUUAAAGGAAUUGGCGGGGGAGCA
rnacentral:rRNA from 1 species